rnacentral:lncRNA from 1 species
GCCCGUGACAAACUGAUACACUGAUACACACCACAAAAGACAUAACGUUCAGACAAGAGUGCACAAGACAUUACUAUAAACCAAGAGUGCCCGUGACACACUGAUACAAAAGAGUGUCCCGUCACCUGAAAACGAAACUGAUACAAUGAUACACACUGACAAAAAGAGUGUCCCGUGACCGUGCAACUUCAACCUCAAUACUUUGGCAUGCGAUGAACACUCUUCGAUCUCACCUAAAACAUGAAAACAACCAUAGAAUGAGAACAAGUACUAGAUCAAAGCGUUAACAAGAACAAGAAACAGAGAUCAAAGCAUUAACAAGAACAAGAAACAUACAUCUAAGCAUUAACGAGAACAAGAAACAGAGAGCAAAGCAUAAACGAGAACAAGAACCCGAGACAGAUUAAACUUAACAAGCACUACCGGUUUUGGCCGUGGAAAAGUCACACCACUUCUGGUCAUUUCUCAACUCCUUCCAAGCGUGUUCAAGGGUGAACUUUUUCUUAUAGUUGGUGAAGAAUAUUUCGUGGGCAAGUUUGAGAACAUCAUUUUCAUUUUGUCCACUACUUUUCUCUAUGGUUGCUGCCUCGUAUGCUCCACAAAACUUUGACACUAAGUCAUUGAUCCUGUGCCACCUUUGCUUGCAGUGAGAUGACUCUCUUUUUUCAGAGCCAGCAAGCUUAGGACUGGCCGCAAAAUACGCUGCUAUUCUCUUCCAGAAAGCUAUGGACCUUUGCUCAUUCCCGACAAGGGGAUCUUUUCUCAUGUUUAACCACGAGCUGAUGAGGACUAUAUCAUCUGUAGGCGACCAAGUCCUUCGUUCCUUGCGCCCUGAAGAAGUUUCUUGUUGGAAGUUUAUACCUUCGGUAGCUUGAGUGGUAAGAAAAGGAAUCGAAGAAGUAUCUUGUUGACUUUGAAGAAGAUCAACAAAAUUUAUAUUCACAUACGGAUUAGAAUCCAUAUCUUAAAAAGAAAAGGAUAGAAGAGGGAUCCUGUUUCAUAAAUGGAAGAGACCAAGGUCUCUGUUAUAUAGCAGAGAGAAAGAAGAAGGCAUUCAUCUCCAACACACAACCAAUUGGAGUAGACAUUUAUCUAACAAUAACUUCAAUUUAUAACUCAUCCAUCACCUCAAUUUAUUACGACACACAAACAUAUUCUAACCCCUAACCAAAAGAUUAUAACUCAUUCAUCACAAUUCAACCAUAAAGAAAGUAUUUUUUAAAACUCUUUAAUCAAAAUUCAACCAGAAAGGAAGUAUUUUUUAAAACUCGUUCAUCACACUUCACAGUCCAUUUUCAAUUGUAACCUUAACCAAAACAAUGAUACUCAUUCAUGACAAUUCAACCACAAAUAAAGUCUCUUUUUUAAACUCAAUUCAUCGGACUUCACAUUCGCUUUUCUAUCUACCCAUCAGUUCGAUUUAUUGCCAAACACAACCAUAUUUCAACUCUAACCACCACAUUAAUUACCCUACCUUCAUUUCAUCACAGAAGCUUAAUCAAUUCAUUUCAGAGUAGAUGAAAGAGGUACACUAACCUGUUUUGCUGUUGUAGUCCUUUGUUGGAUUAUAUUUUCCUCAAGUCUCUUUCCACUGAACAAAGGGGAUUUGUUCCAUCCAUCUCACAACACAAAGACAAAACAAAACAAAGGAAUCAAUAGACAAAAACAAAUAAAAAAAUGAACAACUUGCAAGAAACAAAUCAAUAUUGAUCGAACACGAGACAAAUCAAUCUAGACACAGAAUCGAACACAACAAACAAUCAAUCUAGACACAGAAGAAGCACAAUCUAAGAAAUACAUCAUUCAGGAACAUUAAACAUAAACAUUACCUUUCGUUUCGAGGAGAGCCACAGUCAGAGAUCUCCGUUGCCAGCGAGGAGAGCCACCGUCAGAGAGCUCCGUCGCCGUCGAGGAGAGCCACCGUCAGAGAGCUCCGUCACCGUCGAGCAGAGCCACCUAUAGACACAAUCGAACCGGCAAACCAAGCAAACUUUCGAUCAGUACAAUAAUAACCAUAAUCUAAAGACAUGCAUGGUUGAAGAACUGAACAAUACUUUUACCUUUCGAUUCGAGGAGACCCACAGAGAGAACCGAUCCGUCGCCGUCGAGGAGACCCACGGAGAGGGAGAGAAUCAGCGGUCGACGAGACGCGGAGAGAGACACGAUCGCCGUUUUCUUCGCCUCUUCGAGAGGUUUCGAGAGAGAGAAAGGAGAAACAGAAAGCCGAACCGAUCCGUCGCCGUCGAGGAGACACACGGAGAGGGAGAGAAUCAUCGGUCGACGACAGCCACCAAGACAGACAGCGCCGUUUCGUCGACGAAACGCGGCGAGAGACACGAUCGCCGUUUCCUUCGCCUCUCGGAGAGGUUUCAAGAGAGAGAAAUGAGAAACAGGAAGCCCAUUCGUUUUC